UAUCUGCAGUCGAGGGGCAGCAGGGUGGUAGCAAUACCACUGCUGGCGACCGGCAAACGGGUGCGGAACACGUACGCAACUUACCCUGAACUGGGGCAUAGCCCGGGGAAACCCGGAUUAAUACCCCGUAACACUGUGGGGCGGCAUCGCCUUAUGGUUAAAGCUUUUUGUGGUUCAGGAUGGGCGUGCGGCUGAUUAGGUAGUUGGUUGGGGUAACGGCCCACCAAGCCAACGAUCAGUAACUGGUGUGAGAGCACGACCAGUCACACGGGCACUGAGACACGGGCCCGACUCCUACGGGAGGCAGCAGUAAGGAAUAUUGGGCAAUGGAGGCAACUCUGACCCAGCCAUGCCGCGUGGAGGAUGAAGGCCCUCUGGGUUGUAAACUUCUUUUACUUGGGACGAAACCACUUUUUUCUAAGGGUGUUGACGGUACCAAGGGAAUAAGCACCGGCUAACUCCGUGCCAGCAGCCGCGGUAAUACGGAGGGUGCAAGCGUUAUCCGGAUUCACUGGGUUUAAAGGGUGCGUAGGCGGGCAGGUAAGUCCGUGGUGAAAUCUCCGAGCUUAACUCGGAAACUGCCAUGGAUACUAUUUGUCUUGAAUACUGUGAAGGUGAGCGGAAUAUGUCAUGUAGCGGUGAAAUGCUUAGAUAUGACAUAGAACACCAAUUGCGAAGGCAGCUCACUGCGCAGUGAUUGACGCUGAGGCACGAAAGCGUGGGGAUCAAACAGGAUUAGAUACCCUGGUAGUCCACGCCCUAAACGAUGGAUACUCGACAUACGUGAUAUGACUAUGUGUGUCUGAACGAAAGCAUUAAGUAUCCCACCUGGGAAGUACGACCGCAAGGU
rnacentral:rRNA from 1 species